rnacentral:tRNA from 1 species
CCCAUAGCUCAGUUGGUUAGAGCAUCUGACUCAUAAUCAGAGGGUCACAGGUUCGAGCCCUGUUGGGCC